UACGGCUACAUCACGUUGAAACAUUGGUUUCCUUACGAUCACCGAAGUUAAGCAACGUCGCACCUGGUCAGUACCUAGAUCGGUGACUGUUUGGGAAUACUAGGCGCUAUA